rnacentral:lncRNA from 1 species
GGGGAGGAGCCCCAGCCCCGCGACGAGGAGGAAGCGGAGCUGGAGCUGCUGAGGCAGUUUGACCUGGCCUGGCAGUACGGGCCCUGCACCGGUGAGAACCCACCCAGCCCCACGGAGGCGCCUCUCCCAGCCAGUCACCCACACGUCUCUGAAGUCACCCAAGCGCUUGCGUGACUCUGACCCUCAGGAACUGUCUCCCCCCAACACACACAUUCUCCAGCUCAGACUCUACCCCACCCCCCACAAGUCUCCAGAGUCUUCUUCCCACCCUGGCAGGGAUCACACGGCUGCAGCGCUGGUGUCGGGCCAAGCAGAUGGGCUUGGAGCCUCCCCCAGAGGUGUGGCAGGUGCUGAAGACCCACCCCGGAGACCCCCGCUUCCAGUGCAGUCUCUGGCAUCUCUAUCCCCUAUGAGGCACCACGUAAGACCUCCUGCCCUUAGCUCUCUUGCUCACCACCCAAGAACCUCAGGACAGAAGCGAGAGCCCAUUGCUCCUGCUCAGCUCAGCCCGGCUGCGGAGGAACCCUUGGCAGGCAGAACCUGGAGGUGUCAGAGGCUCAACUCCUCCAUCUAACCAGCAGGCUCCCAGAGUCCCCGGAAGAGCCUGCGCAGCUGAAGCAGAGUGCUUCUAGAUGGAGAGUGGUCACUGGGGAAAAGGACCUGGCCAUCACCUUCCAAUACCUGCUGCCUGUCUCCCUGACCCAUGAUCUGGCAAGUUAGGCACAGUCAGACAUGGACAGUUGAUCCAUGAGGAAAAGAUGCUCUCCCACCUAAGGCCAGGAAUCUGAGAGCAGGACUGGCUGAGCUCCCAGGGCAAGGGGUUCACUAAUGCUUAUCAAUAAAGAAUAUUGAGCCUGGAA